rnacentral:rRNA from 1 species
GACAGAGGAGGCAAGCGUUGUUCGGAAUCAUUGGGCUUAAAGGGCGUGCAGGCGGCCGCGUAAGUGUCCUGUGAAAUCCCACGGCUCAACCGUGGAACUGCGGGGCAAACUGCGUGGCUUGAGGUCGGUAGAGGUGCUUGGAACUCUAGGUGGAGCGGUGAAAUGCGUAGAUAUCUAGAGGAACGCCAGGAGCGAAAGCGGGGCACUGGGCCGUUUCGGACGCUGGGCCCCAAAAGCUUGGGAGCAAACAGG